rnacentral:lncRNA from 1 species
CGAGACCAGCCGAAAUCACUCAAAAUCAGCAACCAAACUUCUCCAAAGAUCUAAACAGUAAAAACACCAAUUCAAGAUCAGAGUUAUUGAUCUUUAUUUAUGUAGUGAAUAGAAUUUGCUAUUAAAAAUUCAAUAAAUUCCGAUUCUUUUACACCGUUAAACUAGCAAGUAUCCCAUACCGGCCGUUAAAAAUUGUCAAAUUUGUGAUCUCUUGAUCGUAAGAUAAAUGAUGCCGAAAAAUUAUGAAAUUUAAUUUCUAGAAGUUUUAAAUGCUGUAAAUAACGUUUAACGGUGUGGAUUGUCGAUUCAGAAGCUCUAUAAUCGAAAACAACAUAUGAGUACGAGGACGAUCGUACUCAUAAUAGUACAGUAGCCGGACCCUAUAUAUAUAUAUAUAUAUAUAUAGAGAGAGAGAGAGAGAGAGAGAGAGAGAGAGAGAGAGAGAGUGGGCUGGUAUGCUUAUGGAAGCACG